UGUGUUUUAGAGCAGCUUGCCACACUGCCGGUUGUGUUGUGUUUUGUUUGUUGUGAUGUGUUUUUGUUUUACUGUAACACUCGUUUAACCUGACUAUUGAAGGCUGUGUCACUCGUCUGGCAAUUUGCCGUGGCACUCGGUUUUAGCCUCUCAAUUCCUGGUUGUGUUACUAGUUUGAUGUUUUGGUUUUGUCUUGUGGUUUGUUUAGUGUUGAUGCUGUUUCCAGCAUCAACACCUUAGUUCUUGUGGCCUUAAGUCAUCUUUGGGUUUCUUUUGUCAUUAGAUCAUGUCCUGUCCUUUUUGGUAGUGUACAUAUUGUUUCUAUAGCCAACUUAUCAAUAAAUUGUUACAUUUUUUCUCAUACUCUUUAGUGUUGGCUUUUUAUGUUACCUCCCCUGUACCCCUAGACCUUUGGGGUCGUAACGUAAGUGGGGGCUCGUCCGGGAGUUGAAUUACAACAAUCCUUUGACUGCAAUUUAAGUUGUUUCUGUUAAAGGUGCACCUGUGAAGUUUGCGCUAUUGCUUUAAGAUGGCUCAAUUUAACAUGGCUCAGUUUUUGGGAAACCCCUCUCUUCAGCAACUUACUAGUUGCCAUAAAGCUAACUUGACUCAGAUUGCUAACGACCCAAUUUCUUAUUUAAAACAAAAUAUUAAGGAAUUGAGGGAUCUGAUUGCUUGUGAGUUGGUUGAGUUAAACCUGAUUCUUGCCUUCUAAGCAGAUCUGCCAGCUGACGUGCUUCCUGCAGCAUUAUCCUCGCCUGGCCCCUCUCAUACGGUUGCUAGAGAACCACAGUGGAAGACACUAGAGGUUGAUCAUGAGAUGGUUGGCUGAGGAGAACGCCCAGCUCAAACACUUCUGAAUUGAAGUGAAAAGGGUGGAAGCAGAGAAGGUUGUGAGGCUUCAUCAGUUGGAUCUCGAAGCACUAAGGUUCCAGGUACCUCCCAACACUCAAAUAGCGCAAGCUUUUCAGUGGCCAUUUGAUGUUUGGUCCCAAUUUGUGCAGUGUAAAAUGGCUCUGUCGACGCCGCUCACCAAGAGCUUGUUUGACUGUGUUGUAUCCAAACCUUUUGGUUUGAAUUUUAGGAAGGGAGGUGUUACGGCCAGUGGCCUUUUUGUCUGUUUUGUUUUUCCUUCUAAUGUUUGCAGGUGUAGUUGCAUCUUCCUGCCAGCUGGUGCCACUGUGGAAACUUGCAGCCCUCCUGAAGUUCCCUCCUCCUAGUUCACCUUCAGCCACUUCCUUCUGUCAUCAUCCUCAUUCUGGAUUGGACACUCGCCUGAUUGCCUCACCAAUCCGUGUGGAGCACUCCUUAUUUAAACUCAGUUCUCCCAUGCAAUCAGGGCAGCUGUGUUUUAGAGCAGCUUGCCACACUGCCGGUUGUGUUGUGUUUUGUUUGUUGUGAUGUGUUUUUGUUUUACUGUAACACUCGUUUAACCUGACCAUUGAAGGCUGUGUCACUCGUCUGGCAAUUUGCCGUGGCACUCGGUUUUAGCCUCUCAAUUCCUGGUUGUGUUACUCGUCCCCUGUUUUCUGUGACACUUUGUUAACCUGUGUAUUGAAGGCUGUGUCACUCGUCUGGCAAUUUGCCGUGGCACUCGGUUUUAGCCUGUCAAUUCCUGGUUGUGUUACUAGUUUGAUGUUUUGGUUUUGUCUUGUGGUUUGUUUAGUGUUGAUGCUGUUUCCAGCAUCAACACCUUAGUUCUUGUGGCCUUAAGUCAUCUUUGGGUUUCUUUUGUCAUUAGAUCAUGUCCUGUCCUUUUUGGUAGUGUACAUAUUGUUUCUAUAGCCAACUUAUCAAUAAAUUGUUACAUUUUUUCUCAUA